UACAAAGUGUUUGACAGGAAUUCGCCGUCGUAACCACCGCACUCGAUGAAAAAGCCGUUGAUCUUAAACGGCAAAAAUUAAAUCGAUUUGAUAGCUGUGGUAUUUGUCGUAAAUAUCGUCUGAAUUAAUUAUCCUUUGAAUGAUACUUUAUUCUGCAAUAUUCUUAAAAUGGCUUUAGAUUGGCCGUCGGAAGGAUCGAUCGUUUCGGGAUAGUCCAUUUGAUACGGGACUCUUUUGGGUGCUGGUGGGCGGAGAGGUGGACUUUCUAAUGAGACUAAAAACAUAGUGCAACGACAGCAACAAAGCAAGGAACACUACGAGACGCAGGACGGCGAUCAGAGUCGAGGAAUGUAAACGCACCAUCGCCUCCAAUGAAAUCGUGUUUUGAUUUCAAGCAACAGUAAUGACUAACUCACAGGAAGCCCCCAAGCUAAACAUAUGGACUUGUCAAAGUGAAAGUUGUAUGAAGAUGACAUUGCUGAAAAGUCAAGUGCGCCUCAUCCAGAGUAUUUGACUAGGCUAUGGCCUGUGAACUGCAGUUGUCGCCGGUUGCUGCGGAUACUCAGCCUGAAGGAACAUGACAAAUGUUUAAUAUUUAGCCAUCAGUUUCAGGCCGAGUCGAGGUUGGACGAAACGCUCAUACUUGAUUGCGCUGCAUUAUGGGCCCUAAUCUUUCAGACCGUUCAACUGUACGAGAGAAAAUAUACGAGAAGACGUUGGACUCUGCAACCCUAGCAGGUGUGACAUUCUUCUGUGUACCAACAGGUGUACCGUGGGGAAAGUAACACGAGCGAAAAUUGCUGGUGGCGCGUAAUGCAGAGAGGAAUUUUGUUGAACAUGCGCGCUGCGUAUAGUAGUUAAAAGGAGAAAAGUUAAAA
rnacentral:lncRNA from 1 species